rnacentral:rRNA from 1 species
AUGGCAGGGAGAAACCUGUCAUCUGCGGCUUUCGCUUUCGCUCGCUUUAUCCAAAGAGAGAGCCGUCGCCUUUCCCGCACUCCUCGCCACCGUGCCGCACGUCGCCGUCAUGGCCUUGGUGUAAGGAGCGGCCCACGUCGCCGCUUCUUCGCCUGGAACCACCGCCAGAACCGUCGCCGUCAUGGCCUUGGUGUAAGGAGCGGCCCACGUCGCCGCUUCUUCGCCUGGAACCACCGCCAGAACCGCCGCCGUGGAUAUGCACGCCAUGGCAACCACCCUGUGCACCAGGCUGGGCCUUCCGCCACGGCCACUACUGCAAAUGGAGAGAUACCUGCAAUGCACCAGGCCGGGCCUUCGGCUCCGGCAGUCGCCAACGAGUACGUCGGACACGCGACUACACCAACUGUCUUCUCCAUCCCUCCGAUGGAGUGGUUGCUUGCAGGGCCAUCGGCGCCGUUUCUCGGAGAAGAGGAGAUGUUCCCUUGUGAACUCGCGCCGCCACCACUGCCCCCGUACUGCCUGCAGCACGAGUUUGGACCGUGCCCAGCGCGUACGGGCGCACAACCGCGGCUGCCGUCACCGACGCCGUCGGAUGAACUGCCGGAGCACUUCUUCCCUCCUGGAUACGGUCCUGUCCCGGAUCUCCCGUCUCCGACGCCGGCAGCAGUGGAAGUCCAUGCCUACUCCACCGUCCCCGAUCUGAACAUGGCCAUCAAGAAGAAGAAGAGGAGAUGA